AAACCUCACCAGGCCCAGACACAGACAGGACUGAGAGAGUGAGAACUCGUUCUCAGUUCUGUGGGUGGUAGUGUAUGACCAUUCUUAGUUGGUGGAGCAAUUUGUCUGGUUAAUUCUGGUAACGAAUGAGACUAUGGCAUGCUAACUAGUUAUGUGACCCCUGAGUCAGCAUACAACUUCUUGGAGGGACAAGUGGCAUUCAGCCACCGGAGACUGAGCACUAACAGGUCUGUGAUGCCCUUAGAUUUCUGG
rnacentral:ncRNA from 1 species